GAUGAACGCUGGCUACAGGCUUAACACAUGCAAGUCGAGGGGAAACGACGGGGAAGCUUGCUUCCCCGGGCGUCGACCGGCGCACGGGUGAGUAACGCGUAUCCAACCUGCCUCUGACUGAGGGAUAACCCGUCGAAAGUCGGCCUAAUACCUCAUGGCAUCGUCUGCGGGCAUCCAACGACGAUUAAAGAUUUCAUCGGUCAGAGAUGGGGAUGCGUCUGAUUAGCUUGUUGGCGGGGUAACGGCCCACCAAGGCGACUAUCAGUAGGGGUUCUGAGAGGAAGGUCCCCCACAUUGGAACUGAGACACGGUCCAAACUCCUACGGGAGGCAGCAGUGAGGAAUAUUGGUCAAUGGGCGAGAGCCUGAACCAGCCAAGUAGCGUGCAGGAUGACGGCCCUAUGGGUUGUAAACUGCUUUUAUGCGGGGAUAAAGUGAGGGACGUGUCCUUCAUUGCAGGUACCGCAUGAAUAAGGACCGGCUAAUUCCGUG
rnacentral:rRNA from 1 species